UUUCAGCCCCACUGCCAUUAUGAUGGAUGUUUACAUCUCUUCAUUGAGAGCCAAUUAUCUCGCUUUUGUGUGAGGCCCAGGGAUCACUCAUGCUGCCAGGCUGCACAGAGCACUGUUGGAUCUAGCUGAACGAAUUGUUUUCCCUGUCACUGAUUCCCAGUGACGUAAAAGCAAACAGAAGACUGAAAAAUAAACUCCUCAGAGAAAAAUCAAUCUGUACAUAGAACCUCCCUGUUGAAGAUAAGCUAUUUCUGAUGGUAUCAUUUAAUUAGCCACUAAGGAAUUAUCUUGUGACAAACAGAUAAAUAGUGAAGUAAUUGAUUACUGUCCACAUAUAGUUGAUUAACACAAAUUGUUUUACUCUUAUUAUAUCACACAUUAAUAAAAUUAUAAACCUGAAUGAACUUAC